rnacentral:rRNA from 1 species
AUGGAGCCCGACGACGAGGCGCUCAAGGAGCUGGCCGCCGCCUCGUCGCGGCCGCCGCAGCGGAGGGGCAUCUCCUACAGCCAGCCGCUGUCGCGCGGGGACACCGCGUCCGCGCGCCGCGCCGCGCUCCGCAACCUCAGCCUCGACGACGACCACGUCCUCCCGGCCUCCCACUCCCUCUCCUACGCGCACCACGACUCCUCCGCCGGCGUCCCCGCCGGCUACCACCCGCCGCUCCCGCCGCAGCAGCAGCACCACCACCACCCCAGCGCCUCCUACUCCUCCGGCCCCAGCUCCCGCCGCUCCGUCGGCGGCGCCAGCGACGGCUCCAUGACGCUCGAGCGCGCCAUGUCCGAGUACGGCGGCGGCGCCGGCACCCUCCCGGAGUUUGUCGGCGCGGGCGGCGGCAAGGGCAUCUUCCGCGUGCCGCUCCGCGCGGCAAUGCACCCGCACCGCCCUCCCCCGCUCGAGGUGCGGCCCCACCCGCUCCGGGAGACGCAGGCCGGCUCCUUCCUCCGCACGCUCGCCUCCGAUCCGCAGCGCCGCCAACUGUGGGCCGGGGCCGAAUCCGGGAUCAGGGUGUGGGCGCUCGACGAGGUGUUCGCCGGCUGGGGCGCUGGCGCGCGCCGGGGCGACGAGGAGAGCGCGCCCUUCCGCGAGGGCGUACCCGCGCCGCCCGCGCUCUGCGUCGCCAUGGACAGGGCCAACGGGCUGCUGUGGACGGGGCACAAGGACGGGAGGAUCCGCUCGUGGCGCAUGGACCUCGAGACGGCCGCCACGGCGCCCGCGCCUCCGCCUCCUGGUUCAGGCGGCGAAGGGAGCGUUGGGGGAAGCGCACACGGUGGACCCAACAGCGCCCCCGUGUUCAGGGAAGCCCUCACAUGGCAGGCCUACGGCCGGACGCCCGUGCUCUCCAUGGCCAUCACCUCAUAUGGUGAGCAUGCCAUCUAUCUAUCAUCUCCUCAUAUUGUGACAAUGCAUUUCUGUUGUAUGUGCUUGCCAAAUGUGAAGAAUCCCUCUCGCUGUUUGAAUCUGGCAGGUGAGAUAUGGUCGGGCUCAGAGGCUGGAGUCAUAAAGGCAUGGCCAUACGAUGCCAUUGCCAAGUCCCUCUCGCUGUCACCGGAAGAGAGGCACAUGGCUGCAUUGUUGGUGGAGAGGGCGUACAUUGACCUCAGGAACCAUUGCACAGUUGGCAACGUAUGCUCUCUCCCUGCAUCCGAUGUUAAGUACAUGCUCGCCGAUCAUUCUCGGGCCAAGGUUUGGACCCUGACAAGCAUGACAUUUGCUCUCUGGGAUGCUCGUACAAGGGAGCUGCUGAAAGUAUUUGGAAUGGAUGGCCAAGUUGAGUCGGCUCGGCUAGAUGCACCGGUCAUGCCAGAGCAACCCAUGGAGGAAGUAGAGGUCAAAGUAAAGCCAUCGAAGAAGGACAAGUCGGGAGGCUCUUUGAACUUCUUCCAGAAAUCUAGGAAUGCCUUAAUGGGAGCAGCCGAUGCGGUGCGCAGGGUUGCAACAAAGGGGACAUUUGUCGAAGAUAACCGGAGAACAGGAGCAGUGGCUCAAGCAGAUGAUGGGGCAAUUUGGUCUGGAUGCACAAAUGGUUGCAUUAUCCAGUGGGAUGGAAAUGGGAACCGAAUGCAGGAGUUCCAGCAUCAUACUUCUUCUGUGCAGUGCAUAAAGGCACUCGGAGAUAGGGUGUGGGUCGGCUACGCCAGUGGUACUGUUCAAGUCAUGGAUGUCGAUGGUAACCUUCUCGCAGGAUGGACUGGACAUAGCUGCCCGGUCAUAAGGAUGGCGAUUGGUGGUUCUUACAUCUACACUCUGGCACAUCAUGGCGGUAUCCGGGGAUGGCCACUGACUUCCCCUGGACCUCUUGAUGAUGUUUUGCGAACUGAAUUGGCUAACAAAGAAUUGUCAUACACUAGAAUGGAAAAGAUAAACAUAAUGGUUGGAAGUUGGAAUGUAGCGCAGGGAAAAGCAACUGCAGAGUCACUUAAAGCAUGGUUGGGUAGCGUAGCAUCUGAUGUUGGGUUAGUUGUUGUUGGAUUACAAGAGGUUGAGAUGGGUGCAGGUUUUCUUGCAAUUUCUGCAGCAAAAGAAACUGUAGGACUUGAGGGAAGUGCCAAUGGUCAAUGGUGGAUAGACAAUAUAGGCAAAGCACUUGAUGAGGGGACAUCAUUCCACCGAGUUGGUUCUAGGCAGUUGGCUGCAUUGCUUAUUGCUGCAUGGGCAAGAAAAAGUCUUAAGCCAUAUGUCGGUGAUGUUGAGGCUGCAGCAGUUCCAUGUGGUCUUGGACGUGCCAUCGGCAAUAAGGGUGGUGUAGGAUUAAGAAUAAGAGUCUACGAUCGUAAAAUGUGUUUUGUGAGCAAUCAUUUUGCUGCACAUCUGGAAGCUGUUGCCAGGCGCAAUGCUGACUUCGAUCACAUUUAUCGUACAAUGGCUUUCAACAAACCUCAUGGAUCCACAUCUUCUGCUACAUCUGUCCAAUUGCACAAAACAGUGAAUGUUAAUGGAAAUCCAGUUGAUGAGGUCAGGCCUGACUUGGCUGAUGCUGAUAUGGUUGUCUUUCUUGGUGAUUUCAACUACCGGCUUUAUGGUAUCACAUAUGAUGAAGCAAGGGACAUGGUUUCCCAAAGAAGCUUUGAUUGGCUAAGAGAGAAGGAUCAGCUUCGAGCAGAAAUGAAAGCUGGAAAAGUAUUUCAAGGAAUGCGUGAAGGUCUGAUCAAAUUCCCACCGACUUACAAAUUCCAAAAGCACGCGCCAGGUCUUGGAGGGUAUGAUUCGGGUGAGAAGAAGCGGAUACCUGCUUGGUGUGAUAGGGUGCUAUAUCGCGACAGUCGUGCUGUAUCAGUAGCCGAAUGCUCGCUAGAGUGCCCUGUAGUUGCUGCAAUUACAUCGUAUGUAGCUGUCAUGGAGGUCACAGAGAGUGAUCAUAAACCUGUGAGGUGCACAUUUAGCGUUGAUAUUGCACGAGUAGAUGAGUUAACAAGAAGACAAGAGUAUGGAGAAAUAAUCGAAUCGAACGAGGAAGUGCGGUCUAUGCUUAAGGAGUCUUGUUUUGUUCCUGACAGCACAGUUAGCACAGAGGAAAUUAUAUUGGAAAAUCAAGAGAAUAUUGUUUUCCAAAUUACCAAUAAUUGUGAAACAAGCAAAGCAGCUUUUGAAAUCCUAUGUGAAGGCCAGUCGACCAAAAAGGACGAUGGGACUAAACCAGAGAUUAUUCCAAGGGCAUCAUUUGGCUUUCCACUUUGGCUUGAGGUCCUACCAGCGAACGGUCUUAUUAAACCAGGAGAAACCGUGGAUAUUACAAUACACCAUGAGGACUUCUACACACAAGAAGAAUUUGUGGACGGGAUACCACAAAACUGGUGGUGCGAAGACACCAGGGACAAGGAAGCUGUUAUUGUGGUAAACAUAACUGGUAGCACCUCAACUGAAACCAAGACGCACACGAUCAAUGUCCGACAUCGCUGCCCAGCAACAUCAGCGCCCCCACCUAUCAACCCACCGGUGACACUAACUCCACCAAGCAAUAACAUGCCCAGUGAAGCGCCGUCUAAGCGUUCUUCCAAGAAGAAGGAGGCGAGUCGUCAACAACAACAGGACUACGCGCAGUUCGCAAGCACGGAGGUGCAUGAUUUGUACCGCAUGCGUUGUCCCUGA